rnacentral:rRNA from 1 species
CCUACGGGUGACAGCAGUGGGGAAUAUUGGACAAUGGGGGGAACCCUGAUCCAGCCAUGCCGCGUGUGUGAAGAAGGCCCUCGGGUUGUAAAGCACUUUCAGUGAGGAAGAACGCCUGGUGGUUAAUACCCAUCAGGAAAGACAUCACUCACAGAAGAAGCACCGGCUAACUCCGUGCCAGCAGCCGCGGUAAUACGGAGGGUGCGAGCGUUAAUCGGAAUUACUGGGCGUAAAGCGCGCGUAGGUGGCUUGAUAAGCCGGUUGUGAAAGCCCCGGGCUCAACCUGGGAACGGCAUCCGGAACUGUCAAGCUAGAGUGCAGGAGAGGAAGGUAGAAUUCCCGGUGUAGCGGUGAAAUGCGUAGAGAUCGGGAGGAAUACCAGUGGCGAAGGCGGCCUUCUGGACUGACACUGACACUGAGGUGCGAAAGCGUGGGUAGCAAACAGGAUUAGAUACCCCUGUAGUC